rnacentral:rRNA from 1 species
GAUCCUGGCUCAGGAUGAACGCUGGCGGCGUGCUUAACACAUGCAAGUCGAACGAAGCGGUUUAGCGGAAGUUUUCGGAUGGAAGUUAAACUGACUGAGUGGCGGACGGGUGAGUAACGCGUGGGUAACCUGCCUCACACAGGGGGACAACAGCUAGAAAUGGCUGCUAAUACCGCAUAAGCGCACAGCUUCGCAUGAAGCAGUGUGAAAAACUCCGGUGGUGUGAGAUGGACCCGCGU